GAUGAACGCUAGCGGCAGGCCUAAUACAUGCAAGUCGAACGGUGUCUUCGGACAUAGUGGCGCACGGGUGCGUAACACGUAUGCAACCUACCUUACAUUGGGGGAUAGCCUUUCGAAAGGGAGAUUAAUACCGCAUAAGACAGUAGCUGGGCAUCCAGCAGCUGUUAAAGAUUUAUCGAUGUAAGCUGGGCAUGAGUCCAAUUAGCUAGUUGGUGAGGUAACGGCUCACCAAGGCAAUGAUUGGUAGGGGAACGGAGAGGUCAAUCCCGCACACUGGCAAUGAGAUACGGGCCAGACUCCUACGGGAGGCAGCAGUAGGGAAUAUUAGGGAAUGGACGAAAGUCUGACCCAGCCAUGCCGCGUGCAGGAUGAAGGCGUUAUGCGUUGUAAACUGCUUUUAUACAGGAAGAAACGACUCUUGCGAGAGGCAUUGACGGUACUGUAUGAAUAAGCACCGGCUAACUCCGUGCCAGCAGCAGCCGUAACAA
rnacentral:rRNA from 1 species